AUCCAGCUGCCGCGUGCGGCAAACAGCACAAAUAGCGCCAACUCUGGCCUGCGAGCGUUUGCUGCGACUAGCGCGCUAGCGCGCGUGACGUACACAAACGCGCUAGCCAGAAUGCUUUGACUUUGAUGGCUUUCACAGUUUCAGCUUCUAUUUUUGGAAAAGUAGCGCGCUCAGACCAGCUCGCUCACUCUUUUCCUCUUCCAUUUUUUAGGGCAGUUGUUUUGUUUGAUAGACGAAGCUUAGGGUCUUUUUGGGUUUGCAACCCUUACCCUCCUGGAAAAAAUCAUAGUUGCUAGACUGCGACACUUCAGACCAGGUACUAUUAGAGCCGCUAAUGGACGACGAGCUAUUUUCCGCUAUCCGGAGCUCAAGCAUUUGAGCCGCUAAAUGGACGAGACUCCUGGGGUAAAGGAUGCAGAGAAUGAGGAGAAAACACUCGUAUGGAGCAGGGAGUAGGUAUUGUACUACUUCCUGGUAUGGAGCACUGAGACGCGAGGCAGCAGUGUGCCUUGCCAUGAUCAACGCAGAAUCAACAAGUGCAGUUGAGGCUGAUGCGCCAGUUGACAAGAUUGCAAAGGCUAAGGAUGACAGCAGAAGGGCUGAUGCUGAACAGACUGCACAUGUUGAAGCGGUUUGCGUAGCCAGCAUAUGAACAGGCAAGAUCGAGGAGCAAGUGAUCACCCAUACCUGGUCAUAUUGGUGUGAAGUCAGCCAUAACUAUUGGUUAUGCUCUGGGGCAUGCUGUCAUCUGACCAGUCAAGAAACACUGCCUGAGAAUACGGUAGUGUUUGGCGAGGGCUAUCAGCGGCGAGUGCAAGGUGAUAAACCCACGGCACCGACAUUACAGCUGGACUUCCUAACAAAGAUAUUGCCAAACUACCAUCACCUGCAGACGUCACAGUCGGCAGCAGCAGCAGCAAUAUCUUGACCAAAGGUAUCCUUGCCCCAUCCACCUUACGUGGCCCUGUGUUUUUUGCUGCAAACCCCCAUUCACUGAACACGAGGUCUAAGAUGUAAUUGACUAGAUCAAUUCACUGGUCACUCUAUCGAAACCUAUCAAUUUCCUCUGUAUGUUCUGCUGUGGGACAUGUUAUCGUGUCUCAUUCUUUCACCUGCUGAUCAUAUAGCACAGAUAUUGUUUUAACAUUGUACUCAGCAGAGUAAUGCUGGUGUGUGUAUUUACACACAGCUAGAUCAUUGUCACAUUCAUGUGCAUUGUCUGACUCGAUGGUUUAUAUAAUUAUGCACCACAGGCUGAUAUGGGUAACCAUUCAUGACAUCUCUCCUGAGGUGCGUUGUACACACAUUUCUAACCUAUUGCUUGGAUACGCUGGUUCUAGGCGGUAUCCCGUUACUAGGAAAUGCCCACGCAAGGCUAUAAUCUCUGUUUCUAGGAAAUGUUGGUUCUAGGCUAUAAUAAUUAUUAGGGCUCAAACUGUUAGUCCGAUUAUCUGGUUGCAGACCGGUUACGGAGAAUUUACGGUUAACCGAUAAAGAUAACGGUUACUCAGUAACUUUUCAGUCAAUUUUUCGAGGAUCAGGUCGUUGCAAAGUAUGCACUUUCGCAGGCUGUCGCACGCGUACGCAAUUUCUGGGCUGUGAACUUGGUCAUAUCUGGUCUCUUGGUGUGAGAGUAUGUAUGAAUGAGCAUGCAAAUUGUGUGAGUUGUACUGGAUAGGGUACAUUUUUUGAAUUAGUAAAGUCAAAUAUACGGUUAAAAAAGAGUCCGCAGGAUCGCCGUGGCUUAUAGGUUAUAGCCGUUGAACCGACCGUUAGCUUAGCAGUUACCCGUUAGGGGUAAAACCGUGACCGUUUGAGCCCUAAUUAUUAUGCAGUUGGCAUCCUUCAGUCUGGCAUGCUGAAAUUUUCAAGUCGACGCUCCAAGACUGCCUUCUAUAUUUGGAUUUCGUUGAUGUGGCAGACAAUUGCCGCUGCUUUUAACACUGUAGUUAACAUACACAUGAUUUGCUUCUUAUCUGGACAGUGUUUUUGUGUGCUAUUCUGAUAUGGUUCUUAUGUCAUGUGGUCAAGAACACUGAUUUUCUACUGUUCUCCGUUGUGUGUGCGUGUCUCUGUGUGUGCACAAGUUGCUAUGU